UCUUGUUCUAAUUACACCCUAAACAGCAACAAUCAUGUGACAGGCAAUGACACCAGUGGAAGCUACGUGUAUGGCACAGUGAUAGAGUUCACAUGUGAGGAUGGUUAUGAACUGGUUGGAGGAGGAGGAGCUACCACAAAACUUGUUAGAUGUAGUGCAUCUGGAGCCAGAGUAGACUGGGACGCAACAGUUCCCACAUGUCAGGUACCCCAACCUGCUUCCACAGCUGUCAGUAACUACCCAAGAAAUGUAUUUACUUGUGCCAUAAUAAUACUGUCAAAGAUGCUUGUUUACAUACAGUUUUAAAGGAGUUGUUCAAAUGCAGCUUUGAAGGAUAAGCCAGGAUGGUAUUUUUGAAUAUCAAAGACUCUCUAUAAUAGAUUUCUUGAUAAAAUUUGUUGUUGAUUGGCUUAAGCUGUUUAACUGACCUGGUUGUAGAAAAAAAGUGAUAAAAAUUGAUUAUUAAACACAAGGUUUGUUUUAUUUCAAUAUAUCUGUACAAUAAUGUUAGGAAAAAGAAAGGAAAUAAUUAUAAAAAUAAGAGUACAAUAUUCAGGCUGGGCAAGAGGAGAGAAGUAAGAGAAGGUGGUAUUUGAAAAGGGGACCCAGUUAGUUAUCAGGGUGAUGAGGCUCAGUCUUUGAAAGAUUAGGCAUAAGUAUUUUAAAUAUAUACAAGAAUUUUUUUUUUUGUGACAAUACAUCCAAUUUUCACAUUUUAAUUAUGACCAUUUUUGUAUUCAAGCUUCACCGUUUGCACCCAUAUGUACAUACAAUGUAUAUGAUAAAAAUACCCCAUUUUGGGUAACUUUUUUCACAGACACCCAUAAUGCAUUACUUAAUAAAAUGCAAUAUAUACCUGUAGAUUGCAAAAUAAAUUGUAUUAAAAAACUAAAAUGUUUAUUUGCAAAUCUUGAAUGACUCUGCAAACCUUCAAUAUUUACAAGAGAUACAGAAUCCGCCUUGGUGUUCUAGUGAGUUGAGUACCUUAAAUUACAGGUCUGGCGAUGUGACAGGAGGGCCAAGAACAGACUCGUCGAAGGACUGAACACAAUGUAGGAGUAUGUGGCAGGAAAAAGGAGUCAACUGAUAAAUGUUGCUUAUAUUUUUGCUGAAAUGCAUUUUUCCUAGAUUAUUAAUAUUAGACAACGACACGGAGUUGUACUAAGGGUUUAACUGUUGGGGUUUUCUGCUUUAAAAACCCUUUAUAUCUUACGUAAUUUCACUGCCAUUAAAAAAA